AUACGAACGGUCCGAGCGUUAAGCGGAAUCACUGGGCUUAAAGGGUGCGUAGGCGGGAGCGUCAGUGUCAUGUGAAAUCCCACGGCUCAACCGUGGAACUGCAUGGCAUACUGCGUUCCUUGAGGUCGGUAGGGGCUGCCGGAACUGUAGGUGUAGCGGUGAAAUGCGUAGAUAUCUACAGGAACGCCAAUGGUGAAGACGGGCAGCUGGGCCGAUUCUGACGCUGAGGCACGAAAGCGUGGGGAGCAAACAGGAUUAGAUACCCCAGUAGUCC
rnacentral:rRNA from 1 species